rnacentral:rRNA from 1 species
UACGUAGGGUGCAAGCGUUGUCCGGAAUUAUUGGGCGUAAAGAGCUUGUAGGCGGUUUGUCGCGUCUGCUGUGAAAUUUCGGGGCUCAACCCCGAACUUGCAGUGGGUACGGGCAGACUAGAGGUAGGUAGGGGAGAAUGGAAUUCCCGGUGUAGCGGUGAAAUGCGCAGAUAUCGGGAAGGAACACCGGUGGCGAAGGCGGUUCUCUGGGCCUUACCUGACGCUGAGGAGCGAAAGCGUGGGGGAGCAAACAGG